CUGGCGGCGUGCUUACACAUGCAAGUCGAGCGAUGAAGUUUCUUCGGAAAUGGAUUAGCGGCGAACGGGUGAGGAACACGUGAAGAAUCUGCCCUCCACUUUGGGAUAACACCGGGAAACCGGUGCUAAUACCGAAUAUUGAAACAUAAGUGGCAUCACUGAGUUUUGAAAGAAUUUCGGUGGAGGAUGACUUCGCGGCCUAUCAGCUAGUUGGUGAGGUAAUGGCUCACCAAGGCAACGACGGGUAGCCGGCCUGAGAGGGCGACCGGCCACACUGGGACUGAGACACGGCCCAGACUCCUACGGGAGGCAGCAGUGGGGAAUAUUGGGCAAUGGAGGAAACUCUGACCCAGCGACGCCGCGUGCGGGAUGAAGGCCUUCGGGUUGUAAACCGCUUUCAGUAGGGAAGAAGCGAAAGUGACGGUACCUACAAAAGAAGCACCGGCUAACUAUGUGCCAGCAGCCGCGGUAAUACAUAGGGUGCAAGCGUUGUCCGGAAUUAUUGGGCGUAAAGAGCUCGUAGGUCGUUUGUUACGUCGGAUGUGAAAACCUGAGGCUCAACCUCAGGCCUGCAUUCGAUACGGGCAAACUAGAGUUUGGUAGGGGAGACUGGAAUUCCUGGUGUAGCGGUGGAAUGCGCAGAUAUCAGGAGGAACACCA
rnacentral:rRNA from 1 species